AUUGAACGCUGGCGGCAGGCCUAACACAUGCAAGUCGAGCGCGCGGCGGACGGGUGAGUAAUGUAUGGGGACUGCCCGCUAGAGGGGGAUAACUACUGGAAACGGUGGCUAAUACCGCAUACUAUCGGAUAACCCAUAUGGGAUUAGCUAGUAGGAGGGGUAAAGGCUCACCUAGGCGACGAUCUCUAGCUGGUCUGAGAGGAUUAUCAGCCACACUGGGACUGAGAAACGGCCCAGAAUCCUACGGAGGCAGCAGUGGGGAAUAUUGCACAAUGGGCGCAAGCCUUAUGCAGCCAUGCAGCGUGGAUGAAGAAGGCCUUAGGGUUGGAAAAUACUUUCAGCGGGGAGGCGUUACCCGCAGAAGAAGCACCGACUAACUCCGUGCCAGCCGACGCGGUAAUAC
rnacentral:rRNA from 1 species